GGUUGGACCGAAGGACAGGCAUGAACCGGUUCCUGAUAUCUUGGAGAUCAGCAGCUGACCCCGGAACUGGAAACUUCUCACUUCAGGUCAAUGCAAUAGGAGCACCACAAUUCUUCCUUUACAGUGGUACAGUAUAUUAUUGGCGAAGCGUUUUAUGGCCCAAAAAUUAUGCAGAUGUGUGGAACUACGGUUUUGUCAACAAUCAGGAUGAGAUUUACAUGAAGUACACUCUUGCAGAUGCUUCUGUUAUCCUAAGAGUAGUGUUGGACUAUUCAGGAAUUAUCAAGAAACUAGCAUGGCAUGAAAAAGUUGGAAAAUGGAAGGAAUUCUGGACCGCACCUAGUUCUCUGUGUGAUACAUAUGGACAUUGUGGUGCCUUUGGAAUAUGUUAUCCUGAUUUAAUUGGGAGAUUUGAGUGUGAAUGCUUACCAGGGCAUGAACCCAAGUCCCCGAGGGAUUGGAAUAUUCUAAGAGAUGCAUCAGGUGGAUGUGUCAGGAAGCGGCUAGAGUCUUCCUCAGUAUGUGGGCAUGGAGAAGGAUUUGUGAAAGUGGCAAAUGUUAAAGUACCUGACACUUCAGCAGCAGUUUGGGUGAGCACGAAUAUGAGUCCAAGGGACUGUGAAAAGAAUUGCAUGAGGAAUUUUUCAUGCUCUGCAUAUGCAAGCAU
rnacentral:misc_RNA from 1 species